rnacentral:rRNA from 1 species
AUCUUACGCCAUGGACGAGAGUCUGACGGAGCAACGCCGCGUGAGGGAUGAAGGGAUUCGGAUCGUAACCUUCAGUUGUUAGGGAAGGACAAGAACCGGAGUCACUGCCGGUACCGUGACGGUACCUGACGAGAAAGCCACGGCUAACUACGUACCAGCAGCCGCGGUAAUACGGAGGUGGCAAGCGUUGUCUGGAUUUCUCGGGCGUAAAGGGCUGGCAGGCGGUCUGUAAGGUCUGAUGUGAAAUCUUGCGGCUAAACUGGAAGCGGUCAUUGGAAACGGGGAGACUUGAGUGCAGAAGGGGAGAGUGGAAUUCCAGGUGUAGCGGUGAAAUGCGUAGAGAUAUGGAGGAACACCAGUGGCGAAGGAGACUCUCUGGUCUGUAACUGACGCUGAGGCGCGAAAGCGUGGGGAUCAAACA